rnacentral:tRNA from 1 species
CAUUAAGAAGCUUUCACGUAAGCAAUAG